rnacentral:misc_RNA from 1 species
GAUGGAGAACGUAGCGAAAUGCGAUAAGUAGUGUGAAUUGCAGAAUUCAGUGAAUCAUCGAAUCUUUGAACGCACAUUGCGCCCCUUGGUAUUCCAUGGGGCAUGCCUGUUCGAGCGUCAUUUGUACCUUCAAGCUUUGCUUGGUGUUGGGUGUUUGUCCCGAGGGACUCGCCUUAAAGUAAUUGGCAGCCAGUGUUUGGUUUUGAAGCGCAGCACAAGUCGCGAUUCAAGGCUACACGCCCGCUUCCACAAGCCUUUUUUCACUUUUGACCUCGGAUCAGGUAGGGAUACCCGCUGAACUUAAGCAUAUCAAUAAGCGGAGGA